AUAACUAGAUAAGUUCAUGGAGGAUAGGUCUAUCAAUUGCUAUUAGCCAAGAUGACCAGGAAUGAAACCCCAUGCUCCGGGGGAUCCUUAACCCUCUGACUGCCAGAUGCUGGGACUGGACAGCAGGGAAUGGAUCACUUGAUAGGUGCCCUAUCCUGCUGAUUCCCUUUGAAGCUUUUAGCACUGGCCACUGUUAGAAGACCGGAUUACUAGGCUAGAUGGACCAUUGGUCUGACCCAGUACAGCCAAACUUAUGUUCUUAUCAUGUUUCUCCUCCACAUUUGUACACUAAUAUUUUUACUCAUGUUUUUUUGCAGAUGGUGAUCAAUGUGAAAUAGUUACUCAGUAGCAAGUCACUAGAUCAUAUACAUUUUACAGAUUUAGUAUAUAUAUAGAUACUUUUUUGGGUAGGCUGAUGCUGGGAGACAAGUUAGUAGACAAGGGAGCUGAAGGCUAGGGCGAGGCUCAAGUCAUUGACUGUUUAAGUGCAAAUGUAGCUGAGUAUCUCUUCAUUUGCAUGCAUAAUCACAGUAAUCACAUUCUUUAAUAUAGGUGUACAUUUACAUGCAGACCCCCAACGUAACUCCUUAAAAAAUUUGGCCCUGCAUAUUUGCCAGGACCCUAUUUCCAGUGGUUCAUGUUGACUUACUGAGCAGUUGCUAGAGCAAUGUUAUUCUGUUUAUGUACCCUCCACAGGCUCAGCUCUGCACGAUGCUGGUACAAACGGAGUAAAUACAGACAGAGCCCUAUGUAGAUACAAAAUUUGUAUCCGCAUCCGAUCUGCAAACAUGGUCUGCGGACAACCGUAUCUGCAGAUGAAGAUAUUCACGGAUAUAAAGCAGUGUUCUCUCAGCAUGGAAUGGCAGCCACCUCUUGAAGUGACAACUUGAUCAGUGGAUCCUACAAUAAGUUGAAGCUGAUGGUUCAAGGGACACUUGGCAGACACGCACUGCUGCUAAAAGGUAACUGGCAUAUCUCAAUGGCACAACAAUUUCAAUAGAAUUUCAACUUAAAUAGUAGCAAAAGAGAGUUGGGGCAGAAGAAAUGAUAAAGAGGGCAAGAAGCAAAUAGUAAAGUAUAUUGUCUGGAGUUACCAGGCUCAACAUUUGACCUGACCUGACUUCUCGCUAUUCCGCAUGUGGUUUUUGCACAAAAUAAAAAUGCUACCAUGUAUUGUUUUAAAUUAAAAAAAAAAAGUCACUUCCAGCACCUCCACCUAGAUGUGCAAAUAAACCAAAAGAACAGUGUAAAAAGCAAACACCCUCCUCUCCACGAUGGGAAAAAAAAAGACAUGUGUUAAACCUUUAAGGCUCAUUAAUACGAGGAAGAAAGGCUUUUAAAAGCCUAUCAUGAAAAACACCUUGAUGUUCUUUGAAGUGCACAUACUCUCCUUUAAUUUACUUUUACACUUAGUUGCUUGGGUUUUUGUUGUCUCUAGAAUGCCUGCUUUACAAAUAGGUUUCUCAGGUCAAAAUAGCUGUAAAAAGUGAGUAGGCUUUGUCAGGUUGCAAAUAUAUAGUAUGCAACAAAUGUAGUCAUCUUCAAGCCUAUUCAUCAAAAUUGCUUCAAACAAGUGCUACCUUUAAGAGAGUGGUUUUAAUUUAAUUUUUCUCCCCACCCUAUCCUAAUAAUCCUUGACAUCAAAUGUUACAAUAUCAGGCGCUGGAAGAGGCAGAACUGGAACAAAUGCAAGCUCCCCCGUGGCUACUGCAUGUCAGUGCCUGGUUCUAUAUAAGCAACCUACAUCGGACUUGAGCAGUGCAACGUAGCCUCAGUGCUGCUUUUUCCCCUCUCCCUUGGGAAAAACUGUCCCGCGUACAGAGGCAUCUGAAAGCAAGUGUAACAUAGUUGAUAAAAUACAACCACUUCAUAGUGACUGACUCCUUAGCUGAACUCUCUGCCUAAAGAAAGUCAGUCUGUAAAAGCAGAGAUUCAUGGUGAGUAGCUACACUGGCAACAAGCCAGGAGCACAGUCUAAAGAGAAGACCUCUUUCCACCACAAGAUGGAGAUAAAGCAGACAAUUUGUUCUUCUCCUCGAGUGGCAGUCACAUAUCAAAAUCUGUACAGCUACAGCAGCUGAGGCUUAACACUGACUAUUUCAUCUUUGCUUAAUCAAGUCACUGCACUUUCUGUGGAAGGACCUUUUCCAUUCAAAAUUAAAUGGAACAUACAGAAUAUAAUAUUGUGUGUGUUUCUUGUCUGAAUGAAUAAUAAACCUUCCACAGCUGGAGCCAGAUCAUGUCUUGUGUCCCUUCACACGGGAUGGCCAGGAGUGGGGAGUUGUGGCUGGUUACAACCUGGCUUCCAGCCACCAUGUACCCCCAUGCAGGAACAGGGCAAUCACAAUCUUCCUUUUGCUCACAGGGCCACAAGCCACCCUAAAGUGUUGCAUGAAAGAGAUAGGACCAUAAUCGCAGCCAGGGCUUCUUUUCUACACUGGCACUUUACAGCACAGUAACUUUCUCGCCCAGAGUGUGAAAAAACACUCCCCAUGAGCACUGCAGGUUUCAGCACUGUAACAUGCCAGUAUAGACAAUGCACCAGCGCUGGAAGCAUAGCUAGCCCCUUGUGGAGGUGGGGUUUUUUAGAGUACUGGGUGAGCUCUUUCCCAGCACUAUGCUGUGACUACACAAGUCAUGUUAAAGCGCUGCCACAGCAGCAGUGCUUAAACAUUGCCAGUGAAGACAUGCCCCCAGAUAGUUGACCAGGCUCUUUGUGGAGUAUGUGGCACCAUCCUAGAGGCGCAAACUCCUUCUAUCUAUCGGGAAGCAACUGUGCAUCCCAAGUCAGAGUCCCGCAUGGAACUCCCUGUGAAUUGUUACAGCUCCAUCCCCAGUACAGGAUGUGUAA